CAAUUUCUUCUUUAGAAAAAGAAGGAUCCAUUUUAAAUUUGAGACAUGCUGCUUUACUAAGUGCUGGUGGAGGAGCCUUGUCGAUUCCAUAAUCAAGAUAAAAACUGAAAUAAACAAAAGGACAUACAGAUUCAAUGACAAACUUCAAAACUCUGUCCAGCACAUGAUAUCAACACAAAAUGUACUGUGGAUAAUCAAACCCCAGGAUGCUUCACUACAAGUUCAUUUUAUGGUAAAUGAAAAGCCUCAUUAUUCAAAGUCUUACAGAAGAAAAUUGAGUAUGAAGUUGUUUUAGCAAAGAUUGGUGAAAAUCGCCUGAUAACAUCAGUUUCGUUCACUAAGAUAGAGAAACUUGUUUGUCACUUUUAUGGGAUUUUGAAAAGAAUGCUACUGGCUGUCCAUUUUGGUUUAAUGUUGCAGCUACUGAAAAAUCAGAUGCACCGGUUUCCACGACAAGCAAGAUUGUUUUAUCAAUUUUUUUUAUGACAGCAUUGGCAAUAUUAUUUUUUAGUAGCGCGAAUGUGUCUCAAGCUUGCUGAUUGAGUGAAAAUUAGAAGUGGGAUUUGAUGUUAGGCGCUUGUAAGAUUAAGAAUACUAAAAAAGUGGUACUUGGACAAUUAAUUGAUCUGAUCGCCUAUUAUAGGUAAAGGAUAAGCAUCACUGUAAGUGAAUUUGUUUAUAGUUUGGGAACAAUCAACACACAUUUGUUUUUUGUGUAGUUUAUUUGUAGUGAUAACGAUUUGUGCCCUCUAAGGUUAUUUGCUUGGUUCUAUAAUUUUGUCAUUUAAUAACUUUUUUAUUUUGGUUCGAAUGAAAAGCUUAUCGACAUGACUGAAUCUUCAAGAUUUAGUUGCAAUCAGAUGACAAUCAAAUGUCUUUGGAGAGAAAUAAUGUUGCCAGAGAUAUUUGAGAUUUCUUUAGACUGCAAACUAACAUAGGGGGUAGUUUUCUACAAAAAGUUAUUGUUAUAUUGCAAUGUUGUUUCAUAAAAGUUUGACCAAGAAUAUCAUAAGCAUAAGUCAGGUAAGAUUGAUAAGGUGACGUCAGUAUACUUUUGAUUUUGAAAAGUCAUAUUCAUAGAUCAUCGAGGUCAUAUUUUAAAAAUCCAGAAAAUUGUUUGGGUUAAAAAAUCGGAAAAAAUGUGGAAUUAAUUUUCUCUUUAUUUCCUCCUAAUAUUUCUUUUGGCUGAGUUGUUUCCAAUUUUUUUUCAAACUUUUCAUAAUUUUUGUAUAAGUGAUGAGUGAAAAAGCUUAAAAAACAAAUAUAUAACAAAAAUAUAUAUCUAAACUUGCAUGUAUGGAAAUUGUUUUGGAUAUCCAGAAGAACUAAAAGUUGAAUAAAACAUUAGGAAUUCAAGAAAUAUCCAGAAAAAGAUAAUCCCUGCAUGUUUACCUUGCAGUAGCCUUUGAUUUUUGUUUUCAGUGACUAGUUUUUAUAUAUAGGAUUUGAUACUUAAUAACAAUGUAUUUGUUGAUAAAAUUGCCAGAGCUUCCAGUAUCUAUUAGUGUAGCAAAACUCUGUCCAUUUACUUCAACCUUUCAAACAGUGUGUGAGAGACAAUUAAAGGCUCCAACAUUUAUUAUUGCAGACAUAUCAUCGGGCUCAAAAACAACUAAUGAUUUAUUCGAUUUACAUACUUUUGAAAAAUGUCCUUGUUUCUGGCAUUUGUGAUAAAUAGUAUAUAUAGCAGGACAAAUGAGUAAAUGGUGAUUGUUUCCACAGAAGUAACACAUUUUCAUGAUUUAUGGUAGCUUAUUUUCUUGCAUUAAGAAAAAAAAUGCAACAAGAAGGAAUUUUUGCAAUAAGAAGCGUACAUUUGAUCUGCUACAUCAACUCCACAGUUAGUUUGGUUUUAAAAAAUUUCUAGAUUUAUUUGCUCUCUAGAUUGAGGGUCAGCAUCAUAAUCAUCGUGUAAACUUGAAACUAGAUUUACGCUUUUUCUUUCACAUGGGAUAUAGGGGACCAAAACUUUGUCAUUAAUAAAAUCAAACAUCCUUGUGUUUGCCUUUCUACCUUUGAAAUUUAUAAAUACAAUUGGCAGCAGUAAGUGCCCAGGGCCCCAGCCCUGGCAAAAUGAGACAUUUUUCAAACCACGUCCCAGCUUAGGCCCCAGUCAAACUAUAAGAUUUAGCAGGGGUUAAUAGCUGGGGCUAUAAAAAAUUACUAGUAAAAAUACUUUAUAUAUUAUAAUUUUAUGCUUACAUUUACUAUUUAUUACAUACUGACAUAU